AUUGUACUUACUGUUAUCUGUAUACAUGAUGGCAAGCUACAGUAUGGAGGACUAGCAGUAACUCUACAAUAGUGUCAUGUACUGUCAUGUUGUCUUGUCUCUGUCCUUUCCCUUCACCCUGUCUCCCUCUGCUGGUCUCGUGUUAGGUUACCUUUUCUCCCCCGCUUUCCCCCAGCUGUCCCUUGUCUCCUCUAACUACCCAUUCACCCCGUUCCCCACCUGUUCCCUUUUUCCCUCUGAUUAGGUCCCUAUAUCUCUCUCUGUUUCUGCUCCUGUCCUUGUCGGAUUCUUGUUUGUUUGUGUCAUUCAUGCCUGAACCAGACUGUCGUCAUGUUUGCUGUAACCUUGUCCUGUCCUGUCGGAAUCUGCCGGUCCAUCUGAGCCUACCUGUGUGUGGUAAUUAAAGAAGCUCUGUUUAAGUUGAUUCGCUUUUGGGUCCUCAUUCACGCACUGUAACAAAUAGACCUAGUUCUAACAAAUUAUUGACUAACAAUCUUCCAGUUAAAACUCUUGGUGUUAGAGGGCAGUAUUUUCAUUUUUGGAAAAAAACGUUCCCGUUUUAAACGGGAUAUUUUGUUAGGAAAAGAUGCUAGAAUAUGCAUAUAAUUGACAGCUUUGGAUAGAAAACACUCUAACGUUUCCAAAACUGUAAAGAUAUUGUCUGUGAGUAUAACGUUUUGUUAUGAUGUUGCAGGCGAAAGCUUGAGAGAAAUCCAAUCCGGAAGUGGCCCAGGUUUUGAAAGCGCUGCGUUCCAAUGACUCCCUAUUCAGCUGUGAAUGUACCAUCAACGAGCUUACGCUUUCUACGUAUUCCCCAAGGUGUCUACAGCAUUGUGAUGUAGUUUUACGCAUUUCUGUUGAAGAAUAGCCAUAGGCGGCCACAUUGCGUAAGUGGUCACAUGGUGGCUCCGAGAGAGAUUCUCGCGUAAAAUACAGAGGUAGCCUUUAUUCCAAUUUUCCCGACGGAUAUACUAUCAAAUAGAUAUUAUAAAAACACCUUGAGGAUGGAUUCUAAACAACGUUUGCCAUGUUUCUGUCGGCGUUGUGGUGACCGCAAUUUCCGGGCGAUUUCUCAGCCAAAUGUGAAGAACAAACGAAGCUAUUUUGCCUACAAAAAUAAUAUUUUGGGAAAAAAUGAAUUGGCUGUCUACCUGGGAAUCUCGUGAGUGAAAACAUCCGAAGUUCAUCAAAGGUAAACAAUUUAAUUUGAUUGCUUUUCUGAUUUCCGUGACAAGGUUGCCUGUGAUGGGCUGUCACUACAGGUUAAGAUAGUGGCCAAUAUAUGUUUAAUAAUAAUAAUAAUAAUAAUAUUUUAGAUGUUAAAUUAUUUCAUUAUUUAUUCAUUAAUACAUUUAAUAAAUUACUAUAUUACAAAUUUCUACAUUUUUCCACAUGGUGAUUUAAACAAGGUGUAUUGUGACAGAUCUCUCAUUACAAAGGAAGUGCCACUAGAAUAGUGGGCUCAGAGAACUAGGAUCAACAGCACAACCAGGU
rnacentral:lncRNA from 13 species